CUUUAAGUUAACCCUAGCCACUAGCAGCCACACCUUUUAUUCAUUCCCCUCUUCUCUCUCUCGUUCCCUUCCCUGCCUCCAGUGUAACCCUAAUCCAGUAACCUUCUCGCGCAGCCGAGCUUCAUCUCUGUCUUUCUCAAACUCUCUGUCUCUCUUGGUCUUGAAUCCCAGGCGACCCGCGACGGCGCGACCCUUCUCACUCUCAAUCUCUCACACCUCGCCCUUGUCGUGAGCUUCUUCUUGCCGUUUCGAGCCCCAAAAAUCAAACGCCGCGGCAAACAGGCGUUGAAAAAUGGAUGGGGGGAGUUCCGACGCUGCUUCCGACGCUGCAAUCGAAACCCUAUGAACCAGAGGAUGGUGCUUUGGCGACCUCGAACAAGUGAAGGCGAUGAUCCUGAUCCACUCCGCCUUGUCCGAUGACACGCGUACUGUGGUGGAUUCGGUGGAGUUGGAGCUCACCAACAUGGACCUCAAAUCCAUCUCCUCUAGGUCCUUGCCCGACCCGCAUACCAUCCGAAAUUCCUCUCACCUCGUCGGCCCCAAAGUCCUCCAGGUAUUGACUCCUCACAAGUUUUUCUUUCUGUAUGUUUACAUAUUCUUUUUUCUGUGUGUGUCGAACUGGUGGUUAAACAUGAGAUUUUUUUAUAAAGUACAUACUUAUAUCUGGUGGUUGGACUAUGUGGUAUUCAAUUUUGUUCUGGAUUCUCGAGGAAGGUAAACCUGUUUAGUAGCAUACUGCUUUUAUGUGACAUAUAGCUAAGAUUUGUGCUGAAGCAAUGUUGGUGAAUCAGAAAAAGCUUUUGCAGUAUGGUGCUAAAUUUUUACUUUUACAGACAGUAAUGAUGAUCUGAUAAGGAAAUUUUAGCACUUGCAAAGGAACAUAGUGAUAGUAUAAGCAUGAGCAACUCUUGUUGAAGUUUUCUGGUUUAAGAGACCAAGAAACGCUUUUAAAUUCUGAAAUCCUAGUCAUUAACAUUAUGUAAAUUAGUUAAAGUUUUCGUAUUGAAUUUGAAUGCCAUUUCCCUACUUGCCCCUGUUUUGGGAUCAGAACUCACUUGUUCCAGGCUUGUACCGGUGAUAGUCACUGGCACUGCAUCAAAAGACAGGGUACCAAACAUCAAGUUCAAUGUGGCUAAGGUGUUGCAGUCGAUUAUUCCGAUAGUUGAUCAAUCGGUGGUGGAGAAAACUAUUCGUCCUUGUUUGCUUGAGCUUAGUGAGGACUCACACCUCAGUACAACAUAAACCUGAUGUUUAUGCCCAAACAAAUAUCUAUGACGAGCAUUAGCGGUCACAAUGGGCAUGGUGUGUGUAUGUUGUGUUGUGUUCUGUUGAAUAACCGAAAAAAGGAUGACUCUAA